UUCUUACUGAAAUAAUUGUAAGUAUCCCCUGCUCCAUGAAUUUUUAAAUAGCCGCGGAAAUUUAACCGUGCUAAGGUAGCAUAAUCAUUAGCCUCUUAAUUAGAGGCCAGUAUGAAAGGUGAAACAUUUUAAUUUCUUUAUUAAUUAACCUUUUUCUAAAUUAAAUUAAGAAUAAAAAUGUUCUUAUAAUAAAAAUAGACGAUAAGACCCUUUUGAACUUUACUUAAGUUUAGCUGGGGCAGCUAAAAAAUAAAAAUCUUUUUUAAAAAUCAUAAAUGACCCAAUAAAAUUGAUUUUAUGAACAAGUUACCAUAGGGAUAACAGCGUAAUAAUUUUUAAAAGCUCUUAUUUAAAAAAUUGAUUGCGACCUCGAUGUUGAAUUAAUGUAACUUUAUAAAUGCAAUAAUUAUAAAAGUAGGUCUGUUCGACCUUUAAAACAUUACAU
rnacentral:rRNA from 1 species